GACGAACGCUGACAGCGUGCUUAACACAUGCAAGUCGAAGGGAGUGGCGAACGGGUGAGUAACACGUGAGUAACCUGCCCUUUUCUUUGGGAUAAGCCUGGGAACCUGGGUCUAAUACUGGAUGGAUUGGGUGUGGCUCGCGGCUUAUCAGCUUGUUGGUGGGGUGCUGGCUUACCAAGGCUUUGACGGGUAGCCGGCCUGAGAGGGUAGUCGGUCACACUGGGACUGAGAUACUGCCCAGACGCGUACGGGAGGCAGCAGUGGGGGGUAUUGCACAAUGGACGAAAGGCUGAUGCAGCGACGUCGUGUGGGGGAUGAGGGCCUUGGGGUUGUAAACUCCUUGCGGCCGCGGAAUGGGAGUGGGUAAAGAAGCGCCGGCUAACUACGUGCCAGCAGCCGCGGUAAUUC
rnacentral:rRNA from 1 species